GCAAACUUGGUCAUUUAGAGGAAGUAAAAGUCGUAACAAGGUUUCCGUAGGUGAACCUGCGGAAGGAUCAUUAGUGUUGUAUGAGGGCUGUUCUACGUGAAGCGGGGGGAAUAUGUGGUGGGUGUUGUGGUUGUUGUGUUGUGUGCGAUGGUGUGUUGUGGUGCUCAGCAUCACAGUACUCAGUACUCAGUACCACAGCGCACAGCGCGCACCCCGCCACAUGACAACAUAACAUAACAUAACAUAACGCAAACACGAAAACACGUUAAACAUUACAACUCCCAGCAGUGGAUCUCUUGGCUCCUGCAUCGAUGAAGAACGCAGC
rnacentral:misc_RNA from 1 species